GGAUUUCUUGGUUCUGGCGUCGAUGAAGAACGCAGCGAAAUGCGAUAAGUAGUGUGAAUUGCAGAAUUCAGUGAAUCAUCGAAUCUUUGAACGCACAUUGCGCCCCUUGGUAUUCCGGAGGGCAUGCCCGUUCGAGCGUCAUUACACCACUCAAGCCUGGCUUGGUAUUGGGCGGCGGGGAUCCCCCGCGCCCCUAAUUCAUCGGCUGGACGGCUCGAAUCUCGGCGUUGUGGUUUACUCAAAUCGCUGGCGAAGACGACCGGACGCGCCGUUAAAAUUCAUUACAGGUUGACCUCGGAUCGGGUAGGGAUACCCGCUGAACUUAAGCAUAUCGAUAAGCGGAGGA
rnacentral:rRNA from 1 species